AACUAUAGAAUCUAUGCUGAUAUGACUAAAUUUUGUGUAAUUUUCAUGUCCAUUAAAUCCAAGAUAAACAAAAAAGAUUUCGAAUAACUAUAGAUAAGGAUAUAAUAAACAUAUACCUUUUAUGAAAGCUCUAGCAGGUGAGUCACAGAUAAAACAUCUGAUCUUUACUGUAACUUUCUUCUCAGAUUGUUGCACUAACGAAAUUCCGUUUUCCAAUAAAUUAUUAAGAUCGUUAAUAAAAUCUUCUAGAUAUGCAGCUAAACUCUUAGGUUUUCCUACUCCAUAGUAAAUUCCAAUCACGAAAGGUUUUAUGUCUGGAUUUUCAUAAAUGUUACAAAGAAUUGGCCAAAAUUCUUUCUUUGAGCUUUUAAAAAUUGGCAAACCAUCAAAAUUAAAAUUUAAAGAAAUACAUUUUGGAACAUCUGUCCACUUUUCCAAUAGUGUAGUUAAAUUAUUUGUAAUUCCGUUGUGCCAAUAUUCGCCAUCAUUAUUUUUUUUUAUGUUGACACAUCUUGGUGUUUUUAUAAUGGUCCUUGGAUCUGUAGGUAAUAUAUCCGGAAUUAAUUGAUUUAUAAUUUUUGCAAGAUCUUUUAACGCUAUUUGAGUAAUAUUCCUUUCAAUUGCCCAUUCUCUGAUAUUUUCACGAAAUGACGAUACUUUAACAUAUUUAUCAAUAUCAUUGUCAUCUUCACUUUCUUCAAAACUCUCAGAUCUUACAUCUGGCAUUACAUCGUGGUCAUCUAAUUCGGCAUUACAAAAGUCAUCGCUAAAUGGACCAGAAUAGGUUUGUUGAAAAUUAUAUUGAGGGCCUACGGAACCUUCUCUAAUAUCAUUAUAACUUGAAUCGUUUCGUCGUGCAUUGGUUUUGUCCUCAUGCGAAGUCAUCAUUAUUCUUGCAUAUUCUUUUGAUAUUUUUCGCCUUAUUCCUCCAGUCCUUGCUUUUAUUUUCCAUGAUUUUUUCAGCAUUUUGAAAACUAAUAUUCUUUUUUCAACAGAACUACACGUGAAGCGAUACAAUGCAAUUAUAACGUAAUUUUUUUAAUGCUAUAUUAUCACCUUUAUAGGGCUAUAUAAAAACAAAAGGCUUUACAAACACAGAAAGGUAAAUAUAUGUACAGCUUAAUGCAGUAUUAUAACACAAAUAUAUGUCAUUAAAGAGCUAUUGGUUUUACAACAAUAAUCAGUGGAACUUGAAAAAUGCGAGCAUUACAAUGAUUUCAGUUUAUGCUGUUCAGUAGCAUUAGGCUUUUAAUUAAUAUACAAAAAUGCUAUCAAACAGCCAAAGGUAAUGAAAACAGCUAAAAGCUGUACAGUGGAUUUACGGAGCAUUGUAAUGGUUCAACUUUAUGCUAUACAGCAGCAUUAGGCAUUGACUUACUAUGAAAAAAUGCUAUAAUGAAACGAAAACUUCUGAAAACUGCCCAAGGCUGUAUAAUGGAUUAACAGUGCAUUAAUAUGGUUCAACUUUAUGCUACACAACAGCAUUAGGCAUUUAUUUAUUACUUAAAAAUGCUAUUAUAGAAGUAAAGGUAUAAAAACAUGCAAAAAGCUAUACAGCGACGUUGCGUCGUGCCGCACUAAAACUAACAGAUUUAUAAAAGCAUUUUUUUAUACCAUUAACCAACCGUCAUACAGCGUAAUGUAUUAUAAUGGCUUUUAGGUGCUUAUAUAUAGCGUCAGGCUGUUUGGUGAACGUUUAUAAAAUCUUACAUAGAUCUUAAGCUCUAUAUCACUUCACGAUUGAUUUGUUAUAAUGCUAUCUGUGUUACUUGGGAUAGUUUGUCUAAUUGCCCUUCUAAUGUAAACACAGUCUCUGAAGCUAAUGGUAUGUUACGUUCCUAUAAUGAACUUACUGAAGAUCAACGUGUUACAGCUGAUAACAUUAUUUAAAAAUAUUUCUACUGAAAAGUGUGGUUUGGGUAGAACUAAUCUAGUUAUGCAUCGCAUUGACACUGGAGAUUCUUUACCUAUUAGGCAAAGAUAUUACCGCGUUUCUCCAGAGAAGCAACGUAUUUUAUCUGAAGAGCUGGAUGAAAUGCUAGUGCUAGGUGUGGUUGAAGAAUGCGAGAGCCCUUGGUCUUCUCCUGUCUUACUUAUACCUAAAAAAGAUGGCAAGCUUAGGUUCUGUCUAGAUAGCAGAAAACUAAAUUCUGUGACCAAAAAGGAUGCCUACAAGUUACCCUACAUAUCUGAAAUUCUAGACAACCUGAAAAAUGCUAAAUACCUAAGUAGUAUAGACCUAUCUAGAGCGUUUUGGCAGAUACCUAUUUCUGAAGCUGAUCGUAACAAGACUGCGUUCUACAUUCCGCAUCGUGGUACCUACAGAUUUGUCACUAUGCCAUUCGGGUUGACAAAUUCACCGGCUACACAACAAAGACUCGUUGAUACUUUGUUCUAUGGACCUGAAUUUGAAAACUCUGUAUUUGUUUACAUAGAUGAUAUCGUAGUAGCUAGUUCUGAUUUUGAAUCUCAUAUUUCUCUUCUCCUGAAAGUUCAUAAAAAAUUAAAAAUGGCUAAUUUAACUAUAAACUUUGAAAAAUCUGUUUUCUUCCGUAGUGAGCUUAAAUACCUUGGCUAUGUAGUAAACUCUAAAGGUCUUCAUGUUGAUCCUUCAAAAAUUGAGACUAUUGUUAAUUUCCCUACACCUACAAAUAAAAAAGAAGUUAAACGAUUUCUGGGUAUAGCUUCGUGGUACCGGAAGUUUGUCCCUAAUUUUAGCUCAAUUGCUGGUCCGUUAAAUAAAUUAACUUCCACUAAUAAAAAAACUAAUCCUUUUGCUUGGACUACCCAAGCCGAAGAAUCUUUUAAUAAAUUAAGAGAAUUACUAGUCUCUGCCCCUAUUCUAUCUUGCCCUAAUUUUGACCUUCCCUUUCAAGAACAUACGGAUGCUAGCGACUAUGGUGUUGGUGGUAUGCUAACCCAAACCAUAGAAGGAGUGGAUCACCCUAUUGCCUACUAUAGUAGAACUUUGACUGGACCUGAAAGGAACUAUAGCAUUACGGAGCGUGAAGCUUUGGCUGUGUUAGUAGCUUUGGAACACUGGAGAUGCUAUCUGGAUAACGGUAUGAAGUUUGUCGUCUAUACUGACCAUUCAGCUCUCAAGUGGUUUCUAAAUCUAAGCAACCCAACUGGACGGUUAGCUCGCUGGGGCGUUCGUCUAUCAGCUUUUAAUUUUGAAAUUAAACAUAGGCGUGGCGUUGAUAAUGUUAUCCCUGAUGCAUUGUCACGUUCAUGUAAAAUUUCAGCGAUACAUUCUAACAAUGUUCUACCUAACACUAAUGAUCAGUGGUACUUAAAUAUAUAUCAUGGUUGUCAAAAUUCUCCUACAUCAUUUCCUAAUUACCUAAUUAAAAACAAUCGUUUAUUCCGUUAUUCUAAAACUAAUAACCCUUUACAUAAAGAGUUCGAGUGGAAGGAAGUAAUUCCUGCUGAGUCUAGACAAGCUAUUGUACUCGAAAACCACUCGGACCCAACAGCUGGUCAUUUCGGUAUUUUUAAAACAUUUAAACGUUUAAGUCUCAGUUAUUUCUGGCCUGGUAUGCAUGCUGACGUUGUAAAAGCUGUUACUUCUUGUGAUACUUGCAUCGCGCACAAACACCAAAAUCACGCGAUUCUAGGUGAAAUGGGUAGACCUAAACAUUGUACUAGACCUUUCCAAGUUAUUAGCGUGGACCUAGUAGGACCCCUACCUCCUACUAGGAAACUUAAUACCUUUAUUCUAGUCGUCACUUGUUGUUUUAGUAAGUAUUGCUUACUAUUUCCAAUCAAGCGCGCUACCGCUGAAAUUGUUACCAGAAUACUGGAGGAACAUGUAUUCCUAAUACAUGGCAUUCCAUCCACUGUAAUAUUGGAUAAUGGUAAACAAUUUGUAAGUACCACGCUAAAACAAAUGCUAGAUAAAUAUAAAGUACCUAAGUUGCAUUUUACGCCUAAAUAUUCGCCACAUGUGAACACUGUUGAACGUUAUAAUAAAACUAUUAUGACUGCCAUUUCCACGUUCAUCUCUAACGAUCAACGUAUUUGGGAUCUCUUAGUACCUAAAAUACAAUUCGCUGUGAAUUGUUUCGUAAAUGAAGUUACUGGCUACACCCCCUCAUUUCUUGUAUACGGACGUGAACUAGUGACUUGUGGUACACAUUAUAUCGAUGCUGAUACUGACGAUGAUUUAACUUUCCAACCUCGCGAUUCCUACGCGGAGAACAUAGGCGUCCUAUCUUCUAUAUUUAAUAAAGUUCAGUCACUACUUCUACAAGCUCACAGUCGUAAUUGUCAACAUUAUAAUUUACGCCGAAAACCGGCUGAAUUUAAUGUUGGUGAUGUAGUGUGGAGAAAGACGUUUUACCUUAGUGACAAAGAUAAAUAUUUUAAUAAAAAGUUAGCACCGAAAUUUAUAAAAUGUAAAAUAAUUGGUAAAAAGUCUCCUCUUGUCUACGAGUUAGCUGAUAUGUCUGGAAAAUUACUAGGUUCCUGGCAUAUCAAAGAUAUUAAAAUAACAAAUUAUAAAACAUAAUAAAUUUAUACAAAUUAAAACAUAAUAAUUAUAAUAAGCCAAUAUAUCUAACCUAGUCUUAAUAGUAACAUCUUAUCUACUUAACUUAUGUAUUAAAUAUUGUAUUAAUUUUUACAUACAAAUUUACUAACGAGAACAAUGGAUACUAUAUAAUUGUGACUCUGUUUGUUAGGGUCUCCAGUCAUAAACUAAAAGACUUGCAGACGGUGUGAUUGUUUAUGUGUGCGUGAAGUAUGAAUGUUAGCCUGAACGUAUUAGUAAGUUUGCAGUUAGUAGUGAUAGCGGAUUUUUCUAUUCUAAGUACGAAAAAUCCUUCACUUUGCGGCGGGGUACUGUAACGUUGUACUUUGCUAGCUUUAAGAAUAGGUUAGAAAUUAAAUAAAGUAGAAAUAUUUACAAUACAAUUAUUCUAAAAUUAAUAAAACACCUAAAUUAAACUAAACUAAAUAUAAUAAAAAAUUAUAAUAUAUUAAAAUUAACAUAAUUCAUAUACGGAACCCAAUAUUAAUUAUUUACACAAAGGUCCUCGUAACUAUUGCGCCUACGCAUCUCUAAACUGGUGAACUGGUUUCGCCGCGCGCGACGGUGGUGCCUCGAGUGCAUUCGGGCCUGAGACGCAGGCAGACGACCAAAUUGCAUCAGACGUGACGGCUGUGUCACACGUUUUUUUUUACUUGACCUUCAAGUAUUGCGUACCUGCCUAAUUUCUACUUAUUUGUGCUAGACAAAUUCUAAUCGGAAAUCCCGCUGGGGAUUUUCUACGGUGGAUUUAAUUUCUACGUUGGAUUGCUACGUUGGAUAUUCUACGUUCUUGUUUAAACCCUCGCUACGCAAUCUUUCUACCUGGCGGCGAGUGAAAGACCAGACCUGAUCCUGUCUGGAACUACCUGGGUCCUGCUGGAGACCUGGCAGUGCAACCUGGCAAGGAGCUGGGCCGUCGUCGGAGCUACACCACGGUUCAGGCCAGUGUUCCCAGUGUACCUUCUACCUCAAGAUCUAUUCGUGAUUAGGGCAACAGAAGUUGGCUUAAAUAAAGUCUCAAUUUCUACCAAA